rnacentral:rRNA from 1 species
GAUGAACGCUGGCGGCGUGCCUAAUACAUGCAAGUAGAACGCUGAAGCUUGGUGCUUGCACCGAGCGGAUGAGUUGCGAACGGGUGAGUAACGCGUAGGUAACCUGCCUCUUAGCGGGGGAUAACUAUUGGAAACGAUAGCUAAUACCGCAUAAAAGUCGAUAUCGCAUGAUAUUGAUUUGAAAGGUGCAAUUGCAUCACUAAGAGAUGGACCUGCGUUGUAUUAGUUAGUUGGUGAGGUAACGGCUCACCAAGGCGACGAUACAUAGCCGACCUGAGAGGGUGAUCGGCCACACUGGGACUGAGACACGGCCCAGACUCCUACGGGAGGCAGCAGUAGGGAAUCUUCGGCAAUGGGGGCAACCCUGACCGAGCAACGCCGCGUGAGUGAAGAAGGUUUUCGGAUCGUAAAGCUCUGUUGUAAGAGAAGAACGAGUGUGAGAGUGGAAAGUUCACACUGUGACGGAACUACCAGAAAG